UACGGAGGGGGCUAGCGUUGUUCGGAAUUACUGGGCGUAAAGCGCGUGUAGGCGGGCCUUUAAGUCAGGGGUGAAAUGCCAAGGCUCAACCUUGGAACUGCCUUUGAUACUGGAGAUCUUGAGUCCGGGAGAGGUGAGUGGAAUUGCGAGUGUAGAGGUGAAAUUCGUAGAUAUUCGCAAGAACACCAGUGGCGAAGGCGGCUCACUGGCCCGGAACUGACGCUGAUUCACGAAAGCGUGGGGAGCAAACAGG
rnacentral:rRNA from 1 species